rnacentral:rRNA from 1 species
AAUGAACGUUGGCGGCAUGGAUUAGGCAUGCAAGUCGAGCGAGAAGGAAAUCAAAGUUUACUUUGGUUUCCGGAAAGCGGCGAAAGGGAGAGUAACGCGUAGUUAUCUACCCCAAGGCUCGGAAUAGCUGCGGGAAACUGCAGGUAAUGCCGGAUAAUAUCCCCGGAUCAAAGGUGUGAUUCCGCCUUGGGAGGAGACUGCGUUGUACUAGCUUGUUGGUAGGGUAAUGGCCUACCAAGGCUACGAUGCAUAGCGGGCGUGAGAGCGUGGCCCGUCUCACUGGGACUGAAACACUGCCCAGACACCUACGGGUGGCUGCAGUCGAGAAUCUUCGGCAAUGGGCGAAAGCCUGACCGGGCGAUGCCGCGUGCGGGAUGAAGGCCCUCGGGUUGUAAACCGCUGUCGUAGGGGAGAAAGGACCGUUGAAGAGACGGUUUUGAUCUAUCCUAGGAGGAAGUCCGGGCUAAGUUCGUGCCAGCAGCCGCAGUAA